rnacentral:rRNA from 1 species
CCUACGGUAGCAGCAGUGAGGAAUAUUGGUCAAUGGGCGAGAGCCUUAACCAGCCAAGUCGCGUGAAGGAUGACGGCCCUACGGGGUGUAAACUUCUUUUGUCAGGGAGCAAUUGAGUCCACGUGGGGGCUUAGCGAGAGUACCUGAAGAAAAAGCAUCGGCUAACUCCGUGCCAGCAGCCGCGGUAAUACGGAGGGUGCGAGCGUUAUCCGGCUUUAUUGGGUUUAAGGGGUGCGUAGGCGGAAUAUCAAGUCAGCGGUAAAAAUUCGGGGCUCAACCCCGACGUGCCGUUGAAACUGAUGUUCUUGAGUGGGCUAGAAGUAUGCGGAAUGCGUGGUGUAGCGGUGAAAUGCAUAGAUAUCACGAAGAACUCCGAUUGCGAAGGCAGCAUACCGGCGCCCAACUGACGCUGAAGCACGAAAGCGUGGGUAUCGAACAGGAUUAGAUACCCUAGUAGUC